rnacentral:rRNA from 1 species
AGACGGCCCCGUAACACGGGCCGCCCCCGCCAGAGGACCCCCUAACUCUGUUUCUAUAAUGUUUCUUCUGAGUAAACAAGCAAAUAAAUUAAAACUUUCAACAACGGAUCUCUUGGCUCUGGCAUCGAUGAAGAACGCAGCGAAAUGCGAUAAGUAAUGUGAAUUGCAGAAUUCAGUGAAUCAUCGAAUCUUUGAACGCACAUUGCGCCCGCCAGUAUUCUGGCGGGCAUGCCUGUUCGAGCGUCAUUACAACCCUCAGGCCCCCGGGCCUGGCGUUGGGGAUCGGCGGAAGCCCCCUGCGGGCACAACGCCGUCCCCCAAAUACAGUGGCGGUCCCGCCGCAGCUUCCAUUGCGUAGUAGCUAACACCUCGCAACUGGAGAGCGGCGCGGCCACGCCGUAAAACACCCAACUUCUGAAUGUUGACCUCGAAUCAGGUAGGAAUACCCGCUGAACUUAAGCAUAU